UGGAAGGGCUGCAGCUCAAUGAUAGAGCCUCUGCUUUGCAUGCAGAAGGGCAUUGGUCCAAUCCCUGGACUGCCUCCAA